rnacentral:rRNA from 1 species
UACAGAGGUGGCAAGCGUUGUUCGGAAUUACUGGGCGUAAAGGGCGCGUAGGCGGCCGCCUAAGUCAGACGUGAAAUCCCCAAGCUUAGCUUGGGAACUGCGUCUGAUACUGGGUGGCUUGAGUUCGGGAGAGGAAUGUGGAAUUCCAGGUGUAGCGGUGAAAUGCGUAGAUAUCUGGAGGAACACCGGUGGCGAAGGCGGCAUCCUGGACCGACACUGACACUGAGGAGCGAAAGCCAGGGGAGCAAACGGG